rnacentral:rRNA from 1 species
AUAGUAAAAUAUUAAAGAGUUUGAUGUUAGCUCAGUUUAACAUUAGCUAGACAAUUAACACAUGCUUAUGAAUAUUGAUAAUUAAAAUUAUCAUUAUUUGUGUGAAGGUGAGUAAAAAAUUAGUAAUACCCUAAUAAAAUGAAUUAUCUAAUUGAAUUCUUAAGAUUUUGUAAAUACAUGCUUUGCAAUUUAUAAUUUACAUAAAUCUAUUGAUUAAUCUUUAGAUUAAUCAUUAAAUAAAAAUAAAUACCUAUUAAAUAUCUAUCAUAAUUUAUGAAUUAUCAAAUAGAUUAAAUAGAUUAAAUAGAUUAAAAUAUUUUAUAGAAUUGAUCAUGUGUAACAUGAUUAUUAAGGUUAGAAAUUAAUCUUGAAUUUUUAAAUUUUUAAAUUUAUAAAUUUAAAGGAUUUACUAAUUUGCAAAGAGGUUGUUGGGAUAAUUAAAUAACAUUAUCUUUGAUAAUGUGGAGAAUUUGUAUGUAUCUACAAGCCGUUAUUAUUUGUAAUCAACAAUUUGAAAGGAUUGUAUCACAUUGGUGUUAAAAGAAACCAAAAUGAAUUUAAUUCAUUCAGCAGUGUUGAGAAUUGGUCAAUGUUUUUAAAAAGAAUGAACCAGUGAUCUAGCCUGACGAAACAAAAUGUAAAGUCAAAUAAAAAAAGAAAGGAUAACAAAAUAAUCUCAGCCAAUAUAUCGUGCCAGCCGCUGCGGUUAAACGAAAGAGAUAAAUGUUAAACAUCAUUAUUAGGUUUAAAGGAUACGCAGAUGGUUAAACUUAUUAUUUAAUAAAUAUUAACUAGAGUAUAAUAGAAGAUUAUAGAAAAUAAAAGGAGAGAUGAAAUUCAAUGAUCUUUAUUUAACUGCUUAAAGUGAAAACAAUAAUCUUACUUUAUACUGACAUUAAGGUAUGUAAGCUAAAUUUAACAAAUAGGAUUAGAUACCCUAGUAGUUUUAGCCGUAAACGAUAAUUGUUAGAAAUUAGAUUCAAUCAAAAUCUAAGUUAAAUCUAUAUUAAUUAAAAAUAAGAAUAAAUCUUAUAUUAAUUAAAACAAUACUGAUUAAUUACUAAUUUAUUAGAUUAUUAUUUAGUUUCUAUCCGAAAGGAUUAAACUAUUUCGCAAGAUUGAAACCCAAAACUUUAGACGGUUCUAGAAACUAGCAGUGAAUCAUGUUAUUUAAUUCGAUAAUCCACGUAAAAUCUUACCUUUAUUAAAAAAAAUUAAUGUCAACGAAUUCAUAUGAAUUCUUAAUGUAGUCUGUAUGAAUAAAUUUAAUUAAAUUUAUUCUUCAUGGAAAUGCAUAAAAACUUAUACUAAUUUAGGCAAUCAUGCAAUGCAUGAUUUCCAUGAAGAAUACCAAUGGUAUUCGUCUAUUACUAAAUUAAUUUUUUGGUAUCGCGUGGCUGUCUUUAGUUUGUGUUGUGAAAUGCUUGGUUAAUUCCUAUAACAAACGCAAACCUUUAAAUAAUUAUCUCCAUAAUUUUUAUUGAUUAAAAUACUAUUAGUAUUUUUUAAUAAGGACGAAGACAAGUCAAUAUGUAUCGUAAAUGUAAAGGGCUAUAGACGUGAUAUAAAAAGUUAUACAAUUUUAAAAUAACUUAAUGUUCUAAUAAUUAUCUGUUACUCGAUAAUUUGAAGGAGGAAUUGCUUAGUAAUCGUUAAUCAUUAUGUAACGGUGAAAUUUUUAUCUAGAAUGUACUAACUACUCGUCAAGCGCGGAAAGAAUCUUCUUAUUGAAUUUUUAAUUCGUGUUAAGUCUAAAUAAGGUAGCUGUAGAGGAAUCUGUAGCUGAAUUAUUAUUAAAGGAAAAUAACCCCCCCCACCC